rnacentral:tRNA from 1 species
AGUUUUAAUAGUUUAAUUAAAAACUUUGGUCUUGUAAACCAAAAAUGAAAUCUUUUUCUUAAAACUUC